rnacentral:rRNA from 1 species
AUUGAACGCUGGCGGCAGGCCUACACAUGCAAGUCGAGCGGUAGAGAGAAGCUUGCUUCUCUUGAGAGCGGCGGACGGGUGAGUAAUGCCUAGGAAUCUGCCUGGUAGUGGGGGAUAACGUUCGGAAACGGACGCUAAUACCGCAUACGUCCUACGGGAGAAAGCAGGGGACCUUCGGGCCUUGCGCUAUCAGAUGAGCCUAGGUCGGAUUAGCUAGUUGGUGGGGUAAUGGCUCACCAAGGCGACGAUCCGUAACUGGUCUGAGAGGAUGAUCAGUCACACUGGAACUGAGACACGGUCCAGACUCCUACGGGAGGCAGCAGUGGGGAAUAUUGGACAAUGGGCGAAAGCCUGAUCCAGCCAUGCCGCGUGUGUGAAGAAGGUCUUCGGAUUGUAAAGCACUUUAAGUUUGGAGGAAGGGCAGUAAAUUAAUACUUUGCUGUUUUGACGUUACCGACAGAAUAAGCACCGGCUAACUCUGUGCCAGCCGCCGCCGUAA